ACGUAGGGCGCAAGCGUUGUCCGGAAUUAUUGGGCGUAAAGAGCUCGUAGGCGGUUUGUCGCGUCUGCUGUGAAAGCCCGGGGCUCAACCCCGGGUCUGCAGUGGGUACGGGCAGACUAGAGUGCAGUAGGGGAGACUGGAAUUCCUGGUGUAGCGGUGAAAUGCGCAGAUAUCAGGGAGACAGCGAGCGAAGGCGUCUGCUGGUCUGUGCUGAGUGA
rnacentral:rRNA from 1 species